AGAGUUUGCUUCUGGCUCAGGACGAACGCUGGCGGCGCGCCUAACACAUGCAAGUCGAACGAGCGAGAGAGAGCUUGCUUUCUCGAGCGAGUGGCGAACGGGUGAGUAACGCGUGAGGAACCUGCCUCAAAGAGGGGGACAACAGUUGGAAACGACUGCUAAUACCGCAUAAGCCCACGGUGCCGCAUGGUACAGAGGGAAAAGGAGCAAUCCGCUUUGAGAUGGCCUCGCGUCCGAUUAGCUAGUUGGUGAGGUAACGGCCCACCAAGGCGACGAUCGGUAGCCGGACUGAGAGGUUGAACGGCCACAUUGGGACUGAGACACGGCCCAGACUCCUACGGGAGGCAGCAGUGGGGAAUAUUGCACAAUGGGGGAAACCCUGAUGCAGCGACGCCGCGUGGAGGAAGAAGGUCUUCGGAUUGUAAACUCCUGUUGUUGGGGAAGAUAAUGACGGUACCCAACAAGGAAGUGACGGCUAACUACGUGCCAGCAGCCGCGGUAAAACGUAGGUCACAAGCGUUGUCCGGAAUUACUGGGUGUAAAGGGAGCGCAGGCGGGAAGACAAGUUGGAAGUGAAAUCUAUGGGCUCAACCCAUAAACUGCUUUCAAAACUGUUUUUCUUGAGUAGUGCAGAGGUAGGCGGAAUUCCCGGUGUAGCGGUGGAAUGCGUAGAUAUCGGGAGGAACACCAGUGGCGAAGGCGGCCUACUGGGCACCAACUGACGCUGAGGCUCGAAAGUGUGGGUAGCAAACAGGAUUAGAUACCCUGGUAGUCCACACCGUAAACGAUGAUUACUAGGUGUUGGAGGAUUGACCCCCUCAGUGCCGCAGUUAACACAAUAAGUAAUCCACCUGGGGAGUACGACCGCAAGGUUGAAACUCAAAGGAAUUGACGGGGGCCCGCACAAGCAGUGGAGUAUGUGGUUUAAUUCGACGCAACGCGAAGAACCUUACCAAGUCUUGACAUCCCUUGACAGGCAUAGAAAUAUGUUUUCUCUUCGGAGCAAGGAGACAGGUGGUGCAUGGUUGUCGUCAGCUCGUGUCGUGAGAUGUUGGGUUAAGUCCCGCAACGAGCGCAACCCUUAUGGUCAGUUACUACGCAAGAGGACUCUGGCCAGACUGCCGUUGACAAAACGGAGGAAGGUGGGGAGGACGUCAAAUCAUCAUGCCCCCUAUGAGCAGGGCUACACACGUACUACAAUGGCGUUAAACAAAGGGAAGCAAGACCGCGAGGUGGAGCAAAACUCAGAAACAACGUCCCAGUUCGGACUGCAGGCUGCAACUCGCCUGCACGAAGUCGGAAUUGCUAGUAAUCGUGGAUCAGCAUGCCACGGUGAAUA
rnacentral:rRNA from 1 species